UCGGGAAUUUUGGGCAAUGGGCGAAAGCCUGAUCCAGCCAUGCCGCGUGGAUGAUGAAGGCCUUAGGGUUGUAAAAUCCUUUCGUCGGGGACGAUAAUGACGGUACCCGAAGAAGAAGCUCCGGCUAACUUCGUGCCAGCAGCCGCGGUAAUACGAAGGGAGCUAGCGUUGUUCGGAAUCACUGGGCGUAAAGCGCACGUAGGCGGAUAGUUAAGUCAGGGGUGAAAUCCUGGGGCUCAACCCCAGAACUGCCUUUGAUACUGGCUGUCUCGAGGUCGAGAGAGGUUGGUGGAAUUCCUAGUGUAGAGGUGAAAUUCGUAGAUAUUAGGAAGAACACCAGUGGCGAAGGCGGCCAACUGGCUCGAUACUGACGCUGAGGUGCGAAAGCGUGGGGAGCAAACAGGAUUAGAUACCCCCGUAGUCCCUGAGCGGGCUGGCAAGGCGCAU
rnacentral:rRNA from 1 species